rnacentral:lncRNA from 1 species
AAAAGAAGCGUGAUUUGUUAUUCUCUUGAUUUACCUUGUGUAAAAUCCUCGAAUUUGUCCAAAUCUGUUUUGGAGAAUAAGGUAACGAAAUUUUCCAAAUUUGUUUUCAAUUUAUAUUCGUGCCUUAAACAGUUUAUAUGGUUGUACAUGAAGUUUGAGUUCCAUUUGACAAAGGUUAACUCAACAACGGAGAUUCGACUACACUAUGCCCCCGAUGAGCGAAGGUUUGUUUUAAAUGAAAAAGGUAAAAUCGACCCUUAUUCUUCUGCUUAUCGAGGUAAGAUGCUUGAAACCUUUGAAACACUUUUGUACUCCUCGGAUAGUGAUAAAGAUCGUGUUGAUGAACACUUAGAUCGAAACGUGCUUGACUGUCCUAUUUUAUUUAUUGAUGAUCUAUCUGUUUUGAUGGUUGAUAAAAAGAUUCUUGUUUUUGAUAAUGCAUGUGUGAGUGAAUCUAUAGACCGUCGAUUAAUGCAUGGUAUGAUUAUGCAACUCUGUG